rnacentral:rRNA from 1 species
GUGGGGAAUAUUGCGCAAUGGGGGAAACCCUGACGCAGCGACGCCGCGUGAGCGAAGAAGGCCUUAGGGUUGUAAAGCUCUGUUUUAAGGGACGAAUGUCGUGGGGAGUAAUAUGCUCUGCGAAUGACGGUACCUUAAGAGGAAGCCCCGGCUAACUACGUGCCAGCAGCCGCGGUAAGACGUAGGGGGCGAGCGUUGUCCGGAAUUACUGGGCGUAAAGAGCACGUAGGCGGGAACUUAAGUCAGGUGUGAAAGACCGGGGCUCAACUCCGGGGUUGCACUUGAAACUGGGUUUCUUGAGGGCAGGAGAGGAAAGCAGAAUUCCUGGUGUAGCGGUGAAAUGCGUAGAAAUCAGGAGGAAUACCAGUGGCGAAGGCGGCUUUCUGGACUGUGUCUGACGCUGAGAUGCGAAAGCCAGGGUAGCGAACGGGAUUAGAAACCCGGGUAGUCC